rnacentral:lncRNA from 1 species
ACCACUCUUGCAUUUGUCUCUCCAACAUUAUUCCCCACCUCAUUCCCAUUAUGAAACAGUUCACUGUUUGGAGAGCUGGGCCCCACCUCCGGCUCCGAGAUCAAUCCUGAUUGGGUGAAACUAAUCUGAGUAACCCCUCCUUCACAGGGGUUUGUCAGAUAACCCAGGCUUGAGCCAAUCACCGUUCUCUGGGACACAGAUUGGACUGAGUUAUCUUGUAACUGUCAUACUCCAGAUUUAUGUGGGAGCAGGAACUCCUUUGGACCUUAAGGAGGAAGCACGUGGCUGCUUUUACCUGCUGGCAGUUAUCUUGUGUUCUUGAAGGAAGCAGGCCUGAGGAGGACUCCUCAUACAGAGAGAAACACCGAGAGAUUCACUGAAAAACUGACAUGGGAUCCUGAGGGGCCACUCUUGAAGACUUAUCUCUGCACCUUUCUGUCUCUACUGCUGUCUCAAGAGGAUGCUUUGAACUGUUGAUUGGGUAAUGUUUUAACAUAAACGGAACUCUCCACUCCACCGAAAAAGAAAGAAGAGGAAGAAACAGAUUUAUCUGAACAGACUGAGAAGAAAAUUGGAGGUGAAAAGUUGAGUGACUGGGGAGGAUUAAGAGAGGCCCAUCGAGUUGUUUGUUUGCGGAGAUGAGUUAGCAGUAGUAUAAACUUUAAGAAAGAAGAGAUCUGGCCGGGCGCAGUGGCUCAUGCCUGUAAUCCCAGCACUUUGGGAGGCUGAGGCUGGCGGAUCACUGAGGUCAGGGGUUCAAGACCAGCCUGGCCAACACGGUGAAACCCCGUCUCUACUAAAAAUACAACAAUUAGCUUGGUGUGGUGGCGCAGGCCUAUAAUCCCAGCUACUCUGGAGGCUGAGGCAGGAGAAUCGCUUGGACCUGGGAGGUGGAGGUCGCAGUGAGCCGAGAUUGCACCACUGCACUCUAGCCUGGACUACAGAGACUCUGUCAAAAAAACAAAAAAACAAAAAAAAGAGAGAGAGAUCUGAAGUAUUUGCUCUCAGAACAUAGGGGGACUUUGGAGAGUUAAAUGGGUGAAGAUCUUUAGGAUGUUUUGCUAAGCCCCCUCCUUACGUCCUCAGUGGCCAGCUUUAGUUACUUUGUUAAAGUUUUAUGGUUGGCAGAUUUACGUUUCUUCAGAGUUUGACACUAGGUUGAGGUUGGCCAUGAACUAAUACAAUUAUAUUUCAGUUACACGAUUCUUUGCCCUCCUUGAGUGUCCCCACCCUCAUAUAUGUUAACUCUGACAUCUGCCCGAAAUUCAUUCAUCUAAUAAAUAUUUGAGUGGCCUCCCCUCUUUCCGAUUGCUGGACAGCCCAUCAUUUUCCAAAGUCAGCACCUAAACUCUUCUAUGACUUUCCUGACAACUCAACACUAAAAUUCGUCCCUCCCUUUUUUGUGUGCAACCCACCUCCCCGCCUCCGCUUUUAAUUGUUUGGCCUUCAUUCCUCUUCUACAG